AACGAACGCUGGCGGCAGGCCUAAUACAUGCAAGUCGAGCGCGCCCUUCGGGGUGAGCGGCGGACGGGUGAGUAACGCGUGGGAAUAUGCCCUUCUCUAAGGAAUAGCCUCUGGAAACGGAGAGUAAUACCUUAUACGCCCUUUGGGGGAAAGAUUUAUCGGAGAAGGAUUAGCCCGCGUUAGAUUAGGUAGUUGGUGGGGUAAUGGCCUACCAAGCCUACGAUCUAUAGCUGGUUUGAGAGGAUGAUCAGCCACACUGGGACUGAGACACGGCCCAGACUCCUACGGGAGGCAGCAGUAGGGAAUCUUAGACAAUGGGGGCAACCCUGAUCUAGCCAUGCCGCGUGUGUGAUGAAGGCCCUAGGGUCGUAAAGCACUUUCGCCAGAGAUGAUAAUGACAGUAUCUGGUAAAGAAACCCCGGCCAACUCCGUGCCAGCAGCCGCGGUAAUACGGAGGGGGUUAGCGUUGUUCGGAAUUACUGGGCGUAAAGCGCACGUAGGCGGAUUAGUAAGUUAGAGGUGAAAUCCCAGGGCUCAACCCUGGAACUGCCUCAUAAACUCCUAAUCUAAAGUUCGAGAGAGGUGAGUGGAAUUCCGAGUGUAGAGGUGAAAUUCAUA
rnacentral:rRNA from 1 species